rnacentral:rRNA from 1 species
GCUAGUAAUGGCAGGUCAGCAUACUGCCGUGAAUAUGUUCCCGGGCCUUGUACACACCGCCCGUCACACCAUGAGAGUUGGAGAUACCCGAAGCCUAUGAGCUAACUUUUAGAGGCAGUAGUCGAAGGUAGAAUCAAUGAUUGGGGUGAAGUCGUAACAAGGUACC